rnacentral:rRNA from 1 species
AUAUAAUGUAAUUCCUACAACGUCAAUGCAUUGGAUCGCAUUAGAACACUACAGUUAAGCGUGCUUGGACUAGAGUAGUACUGGGAUGGGUGACCUCCUAAGAAUUCCUAGUGUCUUACAUG